GAUGAACGCUGGCGGCGUGCCUAACACAUGCAAGUCGAACGGAGCUGCUUUGAUGAAGUUUUCGGAUGGAUUUAAAACAGCUUAGUGGCGGACGGGUGAGUAACGCGUGGGUAACCUGCCUCACACUGGGGGAUAACAGUUAGAAAUAGCUGCUAAUACCGCAUAAGCGCACGGUUCCGCAUGGAACAGUGUGAAAAACUCCGGUGGUGUGAGAUGGACCCGCGUCUGAUUAGCCAGUUGGCGGGGUAACGGCCCACCAAAGCGACGAUCAGUAGCCGGCCUGAGAGGGUGAACGGCCACAUUGGGACUGAGACACGGCCCAAACUCCUACGGGAGGCAGCAGUGGGGAAUAUUGCACAAUGGGGGAAACCCUGAUGCAGCGACGCCGCGUGAGUGAAGAAGUAUUUCGGUAUGUAAAGCUCUAUCAGCAGGGAAGAAAGUGACGGUACCUGAAUAAGAAGCCCCGGCUAACUACGUG
rnacentral:rRNA from 1 species